rnacentral:rRNA from 1 species
AUUCCAGUCGAUGCUGCUGGAGGGCACUGCUAUCAGAUUUCGACAGCCAUGCAAGUCGGCUCAACGGCUUCGUUGGGCGGCGUACGGCUCAGUAACACGUAGUUAACCUAACGUAAAGAGGCGAAUAACCUCGGGAAACUGAGGCUAAUGCACCAUAGGCUAGAACACCUGGAAGGAGUACUAGUCGAAAGGGGCGCAAAUCGCAGCGUUUCCGCUUUACGAUGGGACUGCGGCGGAUCAGGCAGAUGGCGGGGUAACGGCCCACCAUACCGAUAACCCGUAGGGGAUGUGGGAGCAUAGGCCCCGAGAAGGGCACUGAGACAAUGGCCCUAGCGCUACGGCGUGCAGCAGGCGCGCAAACUCCACAAUGCGCGUAAGCGUGAUGGGGGGAAUCUGAGUGGUUCACUUAGUGAACCUUUUGCCAAGUACAGCAAGCUUGGAGAAUAAGUGCUGGGCAAGACCGGUGGCAGCCGCCACGGUAAUACCGGCAGCACAAGUGGUGUCCACGAUUAUUGGGCUUAAAGCGCUCGUAGCCGGCCGAUGUCGUCUCGCGUGAAAUAUUGGCGCUCAACGUCAAUGCGGGCGUGAGAUACCCAUCGGCUAGGGAGCGGGUGAGGUCAGGAGUACUUAUGGGGGAGGGGCUAAAUCCUGUAAUCCCAUAAGGACUAACAGUGGCGAAGGCGCCUGACUAGAACGCAUCCGACGGUGAGGAGCGAAGGCUAGGAGAACGAAUCGGAUCAGAUACCCGAGUAGCCCUAGCAGUAAAUUAUGCAGACUCUGGUGUUGCAAGCAUCACGAAUGCUUGCAGUACCGUAGCACAAGUGUUAAGUCUGCCGCCUGGGGAGUACGGCCGCAAGGUUGAAACUUAAAGCAAUUGGCGGGGGAGCACACAAGGGGUGGAUGCUGCGGUUUAAUUGAAUCCAACGUCGGAAAUCUUACCAGAAGCGACGGCAGGGUGAAGGUCAGACUGAAGAUCUUACUUGACAAGCCGAGAGGUAGUGCAUGGCGACCGUCAGCUCGUGGUGUGAACUGUCCGGUUAAGUCCGGUAAGUCUAUGAGUGAUGCGAUGACGCAAAAACUAAAACUGAACCCAAACAUAUGUUACAUUAUCGGCAUAUACGCUGCCGGUAGAAAGGAAGGCAUAGGAGUCGAAUCUAGCGAGGAUCCGCUUAUAGAGAGAUUCGUCAAGAUCUCUAUGGACGAGUUCUCGUUGGAGCCGAACAGGAUACGCAUAGAGAAGGCGCAUGGAAACAUCACGCAUGCGUACUUCUACAACUCCAGGAUAAAGAAGUUCAUAGAAAAGACCCUGGAGAGGAAGGAACACGUAUUCAAGUACAGGAACGGCUAUUCAGGGGCGUAUUUCGCCGGGAUAUUCGACUGCAUAGGGUCCGUUGAAAAAAGCGGACUACGCAUGCGCGGCCUUGACCUUUCGGAUGCGAUGCUGCUUGAAAAACUUGGCAUGCAUACCGAGGGCUAUAAAUCGCUCAGGAUAAAGAACCAGGGCGAUUUCAUAACGCUUAUAAAGGGUUUUAGCGUAAAGGUUGCGAGCGUCGCUCAUUGACCCGGUAACGAGCGAGACCUUUGUCAACAGUUGCCACUGGCUUAGAGAUAAGCCAAGCACUCUGUUGGGACCGCCUCUGUUUAAAGAGGAGGAAGGAAAAGGCGACGAUACGUCAGUAUGCUCUGAAUCUUCUGGGCAACACGCGGCAUACAAAGAGUGGUACAAUGGGAUGCAAUGCCGAAAGGCAAAGCUAACCCCCUAAAACCACCCUAAGUUCGGAUUGAGGGCUGAAACUCGCCCUCAUGAAGCUGGAAUCCCUAGUAAUCGCUUGUCACUAUCGAGCGGUGAAUACGUCCCUGCUCCUUGCACACACCGCCUACCAAGUCACCCAAGUGGGGUCCUAGUGAGGCAACGCCUCUGGCGUUUUCGAAUUAGGGUUCCGCGAGGAGGGCUAAGGUAUAACAAGGUAUCCGUAGGGGAACCUGCGGAUAGAUCACCUC